rnacentral:rRNA from 1 species
GACGAACGCUGGCGGCGUGCCUAACACAUGCAAGUCGAGCGAGAAGCUUAUGAACGAGCCUUCGGGCAAGUGAUUAAGUGGAAAGCGGCGGACGGGUGAGUAACGCGUGAGUAAUCUGCCUUAAGGAGGGGGAUAACACAGAGAAAUCUGUGCUAAUACCGCAUAAUAUAUUUCUUUCGCAUGUUAGAGAUAUCAAAACUCCGGUGCCUUAAGAUGAGCUCGCGUCCGAUUAACUAGUUGGCGGGGUAAUGGCCCACCAAGGUUACGAUCGGUAGCCGGACUGAGAGGUUGAACGGCCACAUUGGGACUGAGACACGGCCCAGACUCCUACGGGAGGCAGCAGUAGGGAAUAUUGCACAAUGGAGGAAACUCUGAUGCAGCCAUGCCGCGUGUGUGAAGAAGGCCUCGGUUGUAAGACA